GGGACGAUAUAACAUAUUUUUUUUAUAUAAUUCUUUUAUUUACUUUACAAUAAUUUUAUUGCAUUAUACUUUCUGAAAAAAGCACGUGUCAUCAAACCGGACACUUUACACUUUUGCCCCAAAAAAUGACACCGAUUUUAAAACGAAAGCACGAGCUAUAGGUGGGUAUAAUAAAUGAAGUUAAUUACCGAGUCCCAGUCGGCAACAGCGAUCCUAUUAUUAAAGUGUAAAAAAAAAAAAGUGAAAGGGUCAUAACUCUGACUUUCCCCAAGCUUGGAUACAUUUGAUGAAUCUCGAGGAGUCUUUAACUCCAAUAUUUCCCACCUGUCAAGUUGCGUAAAGCUUAGUGACUCUCCCAUAAAUAAAUGCUCAAUAUGAAGAGCAUGGAUGGAACUGAAGGUGAUUAAUAUUCAUUCUUUUUACCUUAAAUUAAUAGAAUAACAAAGAAAAAACAACUCUUUUGGAGAUAUCUGCAUUCCUGGGAACUCUCUUGCUUUUAUCCAGAGUCUCCGGGUGAAUCGCUGCUUCCCUGGAGUCUCCGGGCCACUUUCCUCUUUUUCCAUGCAGAAGAGCUAAAUUCAUCCAUAUAUAUAUAUAUAUAUAUCUUUUCCCAAGUUCUGAUACUUUGUUACUCAAGGGUUCUCCAUGACGGCAGUAAUUGUACAAUUCUCCAGUCCUUUGUGUCUCGAAAAUUAAAAUACAUCUCAUAAUAAACAGAUACAGUUGCUGUGUGCGCUCCUUGUUGGCAUCGAGUGAAACAUCAGAACACUGGUUCUUUGUAGCCUAUGUUAUUCUGUUAAAUUAAUUUAAAAAAUAGCCGAUUAUUGCCUUUUACUUGACUUGACUUUCUAGCUGUACGUAUCGAGCGUUUAAUAUGUGCCUAGCAUUAAACCUUUUUUUUUUAUUUAUUUUAUAUAAAUUGUUUUGCGAAGCUGUAUUAAUAAAUGGCGAUCUGAAAUAAUAUCCUGCACCCACUUUUGACACCAGCGUGCUUUUCAGUCUAUACGGCGUAAUUUUAUAAACUUUAAAAAUGUCCGUAAAUGUGUUUAUUGUUUUUUUCAAAAUUAAAUAAAUUGUGUGCAAAGGGG